AGCAGCCGCGGUAAUUCCAGCUCCAAUAGCGUAUAUUAAAGUUGUUGCAGUUAAAAAGCUCGUAGUUGAAUUUCGGGAUUAGUACGCUGGUCAUGCCUUUGGUAUGUACUGGUGUUACUGAUUCCUACCUUCUGACGAACCGUCAUGUCAUUAAUUUGGUGUGGCGGGGAAUCAGGACUGUUACUUUGAAAAAAUUAGAGUGUUUAAAGCAGGCUCGCGCUUGAAUACAUUAGCAUGGAAUAAUGAAAUAGGACGUUCGAUCCUAUUUUGUUGGUUUCUAGGAUUGACGUAAUGAUUAAGUAGGGAUAGUUGGGGGCAUUAGUAUUCAAUUGUCAGAGGUGAAAUUUCUUGGAUUUUAUUGAAGACUAACUACUGCGAAAGCAUUUGCCAAGGAUGUUUUCAUUAAUCAAGAACGAAAAGUUAGGGGAUCGAAGACGAGUCAGAUAACCCGUCGUAGUCUUAACCAUAAACUACUGCCGACUAGGGAUCGGAUUGGAUGUUAAUUUUAAUGACUCAACUU
rnacentral:rRNA from 1 species